CCCGUGUAAACCCUAAAACAAACAAUCAAACAAAGGACCACACCUCUAACAACGCUCUGACUCUCACGAAAAGAACAACCUCUAUGUUCUUCAUUCAAUCGCUUUCUCUUAUCUCUCAUGAAUGGAAAAAAACUCUUCCUCUCUCGAUCUCUAUUUUCUCUCUCGGUUUCAAGCUUCUCUCGAGCUCACUUGCGGCUAGCAACCCCAACAACAAGUAAUAAUCAAAUCAAAGCAUUUAUCGAAGAGGAACAGAGUUUACAGAUACAUGGUGAAUAAGCAUAAAUCGAAGAAGAAUAGAAAUAGAAUAUAAACCCAGGUUGCAGGGCGUGAGUAUUUGGAGAGUGAGGUUGUUGCUUGAUGUGUGAGUGUUUGGUUGUCGCGAGAGUGAGGUUAGGGAUUGUGUUGUUGGGAGUUUGCAGUGAGUGAAGUUUAUGGUGUAUAAAUGGUUGGAUGUUAAAGAUUGAGAUAUGGAGCUGAAAGUUUGUGAGUGUAUUUGAGGUUUCAGUGAAGAUGGUGAGGAUGGGUUUCGAGUCUUUGAGACUUUUGAGUGAAGAUUUGUUGUGGAUUUUCGUGGCCGCCUCCAGGAUUGUUGGUCCUUUUUUAUGAAAUAUUUGGACAGAUUGGAGCAGCAGUGCAGGCUGGGUUUUGUUUUGUAUUGCAGAGUGGUGAAGAAAAGAAAGCGUGGAAGAGAGUUGAAAAGAAGACAAAAUGCUGCAGAAUUUUGUUGCUUUUUUUGUUUGACUUUUGUGUAAAAAUGGGCUUUGAAAAAAACAAAUUGGGCCUAGUUUGAAAAGAAAUAAAAAAGCUUCCCCUUUUUUGUUUA